GUCAGAAUUUAGCGGACUGAUUAUGUUUCGAAAUUAUAGUUUAUUGAUAUUCUGAUAUUAUGCAGAUUUUGUAUGUUAUGUUAAAUAACACUAUAUUGUCUUCUUUAGAAUAUGUUUGUUGUAGCUGCGAAUGGUUAUACAUAUUUAUUAUUUUAUGGGUCCCGAGUUCUAACCCGUUUUAACAAAAAAAAUUGAUUACACUUAUUUUUCCCCUUUAACUUAAACAAGAAAAAAAACAAAUGCAUUUUAGAUGUACCCAGAGACCUAGCUAUUGCUUGUAUGGGCUAUUUUAAUUGCAAAAUACCCCUCCAUUUGUUGUGCAAACUUUUCUACCAGAAAUAUUGCUCCAAUAUAUGAAGUUUAGCUUAUUUUCUGAAAGAAAAUUUUAUCUUCAUGGUAACUUGAGGUCAUUUUUUGAUUUUUCAAUUUUUCCAGGA